rnacentral:rRNA from 1 species
GUGGGGAAUAUUGGGCAAUGGGGGAAACCCUGACCCAGCGACGCCGCGUGAGGGAAGAAGGCCUUAGGGUCGUAAACCUCUGUUGUGUGGGAAGAAGAGCGUGACGGUACCACACGAGGAAGUCCCGGCUAACUACGUGCCAGCAGCCGCGGUAAUACGUAGGGGACGAGCGUUGUCCGGAUUUACUGGGCGUAAAGGGCGCGUAGGCGGUCAGUUAAGUCAGCUGUGAAAUGGUUUGGCUGAACCGGAUCAUGCGGUUGAAACUGGAUGACUGGAGUGCUGGAGAGGCAAGUGGAAUUCCCAGUGUAGCGGUGAAAUGCGUAGAUAUUGGGAAGAACACCGGUGGCGAAGGCGACUUGCUGGCCAGCAACUGACGCUGAGGCGCGAAAGCCAGGGGAGCAAACGGGAUUAGAAACCCCGGUAGUCC